AUCAACUUUCGAUGGUAGGAUAGAGGUCUACCAUGGUUUUAACGGGUAACGGGGAAUUAGGGUUCGAUUCCGGAGAGGGAGCCUGAGAAACGGCUACCACAUCCAAGGAAGGCAGCAGGCGCGCAAAUUACCCAAUCCCGACACGGGGAGGUAGUGACAAUAAAUAACAAUACGGGGCUCAUUUGGGUCUCGUAAUUGGAAUGAGUACAAUUUAAAUACCUUAACGAGGAACAAUUGGAGGGCAAGUCUGGUGCCAGCAGCCGCGGUAAUUCCAGCUCCAAUAGCGUAUAUUAAAGUUGUUGCAGUUAAAAAGCUCGUAGUUGAAUUUCGGGAUUCGUCCAUUGGUCAGGCUUAACUGUCUGUACUGGUGUGUCGGAUUUCUACCUUCUGAAGAACCUUUAUGCCAUUAAUUUGGUGUGUUGGGGAAUCAGGACUGUUACUUUGAAAAAAUUAGAGUGUUUAAAGCAGGCUAACGUCUGAAUACAUUAGCAUGGAAUAAUGAAAUAGGACGGUACGGUUCUAUUUUGUUGGUUUCUAGGAUCGCCGUAAUGAUUAAUAGGGAUAGUUGGGGGCAUUAGUAUUCAAUUGUCAGAGGUGAAAUUCUUGGAUUUAUUGAAGACUAACUACUGCGAAAGCAUUUGCCAAGGAUGUUUUCAUUAAUCAAGAACGAAAGUUAGGGGAUCGAAGACGAUCAGAUACCGUCGUAGUCUUAACCAUAAACUAUGUCGACUAGGGAUUGGACGAUGUUAAUUUUUUAAUGACUCGUUCAGCACCUUACGGGGAACCAAAGUGUUUGGGUUC
rnacentral:rRNA from 1 species